rnacentral:sRNA from 1 species
ACAGCACCUUCCUCCACCUGGACACCCAGGGCUGCUACCCAGGGCUCUGCCCAGGGGCUGCUGGAGCAGGCUGGGGGCUGCAUUCCCCCGGAGGAGUGUAACUGCUGGCAUACCUCAGCAGCGGGAGCCGGGAUGACCCUGGCCCCUGGGGACCGCCUGCAGCUGGGCUGUAAGGAGUGGUGAGAGCUGCGAGGCCCAAGACACUGUAUUCACCCUGGACUGUGCCAACCAGUGCCCACGCAGCUGUGCCGACCUCUGGGACCGCGUUCAGUGCCUGCAGGGACCCUGCCGCCCAGAGUGCCCCCCUGGGGAAAUGUGGCAGCAGGUGGCCCCGGGGAGCUGGGGCUCUGCGAGCAGACGUGCCUGGAGAUGAAUGCCACAGAGACCCAGAGUAACUGCAGUUCAGCUCGAGCCUCGGG